GAUCCUGUGCUCAUCAUCUUUGGCUGCUUUUGUGGAUUUAUUUUGAUUGGGUUGGUUUUAUACAUCUCCUUGGCCAUCAGAAAAAGAGUCCAGGAGACAAAGUUUGGGAAUGCAUUCACAGAGGAGGAUUCUGAAUUAGUGGUGAAUUAUAUAGCCAAGAAAUCCUUCUGUCGGCGAGCCAUUGAACUUACCUUACAUAGCUUGGGAGUCAGUGAGGAACUACAAAAUAAACUAGAAGAUGUUGUGAUUGACAGGAAUCUUCUAAUUCUUGGAAAAAUUCUGGGUGAAGGUAAGCAAUUUAAAGUAAUUCUUUUAAAAUGUGGGAUAAGAAGGUAGCAGUUUAGAAUAAUUCUUUAACAUAUAUUUAUUAAAUAAAAUAGCAUCUCAGGACCCUGAGUUAUACUAUGGAUAGUUAUAUUUUAUUAUUUAAAAUGAUAGACUUGAUUUUUGAAACUCAGAUCUGGCAAAUGAAAAGAUUCUCUUCAAUGCCUAGCACAUACAGGUCCUUGAAAAAUAUUAAUUUUCUUUCUUCAUUGAAAAGCA
rnacentral:sRNA from 1 species